GAUGAACGCUGGCGGCGUGCCUAAUACAUGCAAGUCGAGCGAAUGGAUUAAGAGCUUGCUCUUAUGAAGUUAGCGGCGGACGGGUGAGUAACACGUGGGUAACCUGCCCAUAAGACUGGGAUAACUCCGGGAAACCGGGGCUAAUACCGGAUAACAUUUGAACCGCAUGGUUCGAAAUUGAAAGGCGGCUUCGGCUGUCACUUAUGGAUGGACCCGCGUCGCAUUAGCUAGUUGGUGAGGUAACGGCUCACCAAGGCAACGAUGCGUAGCCGACCGGAGAGGGUGAUCGGCCACACUGGGACUGAGACACGGCCCAGACUCCUACGGGAGGCAGCAGUAGGGAAUCUUCCGCAAUGGACGAAAGUCUGACGGAGCAGCGCCGCGUGAGUGAUGAAGGCUUUCGGGUCGUAAAACUCUGUUGUUAGGGAAGAACAAGUGCUAGUUGAAUAAGCUGGCACCUUGACGGUACCUAACCAGAAAGCCACGGCUAACUACGUGCCAGCCGCCGCAGUAA
rnacentral:rRNA from 1 species